rnacentral:lncRNA from 1 species
GAAAAGUUUAUAUAUAUAUAUAUUUUUUUUUUCUAAAAGUUCUCUAUAAAUUCUAUAGCUGGAUCAUAAGUCACAGAUUUCAUUAUUUUUAUUAAUUUGUUAUCUGAAUACUAAUGCCAGAUCCAGUAUGCCAGGUCCAGUAUCUCAGGUACAGUGCAGCAUAUUCUAUUCUCUAUUUAAGGGCUUAUAAAUAUCACUUAAAAAGCUUGAAGUGUAACCAUGUUUGAUAGUUUGGCUGACAAUUGUAUUGAAUUCUUCUUCUUUUAUCUUUAAUGAAUUGCAAUGGGUGAAAAUACUACUCAGUAAGGCUCUUAUUGUUGGUUUUCUGCAGACUAUUGGGCUAUAGACUAGGCAGAUAUAAAUACUGGCAAGUAUACUUCUUUUCUGUAGGCUGUAGGGAUCAGUAUUCUUCCAGAUAUUUAUAUCAAUGCAAUGCAACUGGUUCUCCGCUAUCUGGUCUAAUAGUAAAGUCAAGCCGAGCAUUUCAUCUGAGCUCUAUUACUUUAUUAGCAUCUUUCUUUUAGUUCAGGAUAACAAAAAUAAUCUAUUACAUAUCUUAAGAAAUAAUUUACUGACUACAGCAGUUGUGGGAUCAUAUUUGUUUUCCUUGUAUCUGACUGCUAUUUCUGCCAGAACCAUCCAACCAUCAGCUCUCAGAUGGGACACCAGUGGUCUGUUUAUAAUAUUUCUCAUCAAAUUGGAAGCAUAACUUGUAUGUAAUUAUGUGGGCAAUGUCUCUAAUUACAUGCAGUUUGCUUCAUUGUCAUCAAGAUGUUCAAACAUAAAUCUAUACAGUAUUUAUACAUGCCAGUGGUAUAUUUAUUGAUGAAGAUAGCUUUGAUUGAUUGAUU